CAUAACGCUACUAGCCCAUCCUCUGCGCACACACACACACAGAGCUGAUGUAGAGAGAGAAACUAGAGUGAGAAAGCUUUGGAAUCUAGAGAAUUUCCAGUUGAUUGAGGUGAUUUUGGUGUUGUGUCUGACUGAACAUCUGUUUUUGGAGAAUCGCGUGGGGGAUGUGAGAUCCGUAUCUUGCGAAGCUCCUCGAAGGUUCGGAAAUGGCUACUACAGAGGCUUCGGCGGCCGCGGGCAGGGGUUACGCUGAGUCGAGUUGUGGCUCGUGUGCGCCGGCUCCUGACGGUGGUCGGAGUGUCUCCGGAGCCGGUAAAGAUGUUGAGAGAGCGUUGUACACGGAGCUAUGGCGGGCUUGUGCCGGGCCGCUGGUGACAGUGCCACGUGAGCAGGAGCUGGUGUUCUAUUUCCCGCAAGGUCAUAUCGAGCAGGUUGAAGCAUCAACUAAUCAAGUGGCAGAGCAGCAGAUGCCAAUCUAUAAGCUUCCUUGGAAGAUCCUUUGCCGCGUGGUUAAUGUCCUGUUGAAGGCUGAAGCAGAUACUGAUGAGGUUUAUGCACAAGUAACAUUGAUGCCGGAAGAAAAUCAAGAUGAGAAUGCAAUUAAGAAGGAAACCGUGCCACCUUCACCGCCACAUGUUCAAGUACAUUCCUUUUGUAAGACGCUUACAGCCUCAGAUACCAGCACCCAUGGAGGAUUUUCAGUGCUGAGACGGCAUGCUGAUGAGUGUCUCCCACCAUUGGACAUGUCACGGCAGCCUCCAAGCCAGGAGCUGGUGGCCAGGGAUCUGCAUGGAAGUGAGUGGCGCUUCAGGCAUAUAUUUCGGGGACAACCACGGAGGCACCUCCUUCAAAGUGGUUGGAGUGUCUUUGUUAGUUCAAAAAGGCUUGUUGCUGGUGAUGCCUUCAUAUUUUUAAGAGGUGAGAAUGGGGAGCUUCUUGUUGGGGUUAGACGCACGAUGAGGCAUCAGAAUAACAUUCCAUCAUCUGUUAUAUCCAGUCACAGUAUGCAUCUUGGUGUGCUGGCAACAGCAUGGCAUGCCAUUCAGACUAAAACCAUGUUUACGGUGUAUUACAAACCUAGGACAAGCCCCGCAGAAUUUAUUAUUCCACAUGACCAAUAUAUGGAGUCUGUGAAAAACAACUAUUCCAUUGGAAUGAGGUUCAAAAUGAGGUUUGAAGGGGAAGAAGCUCCGGAGCAGAAGUUUACUGGAACUAUCGUUGGAAUUGAAGAUUGUGAUCACCAAAGGUGGCCGGAAUCGAAAUGGAGAUGCCUCAAGGUGCGGUGGGAUGAAACUUCCACCAUUCCUAGGCCGGACCGAGUUUCACCUUGGCAAAUAGAGCCCUCUCUUUGUCCAUCUGCACUUAAUCCACUUCCUGUACCAAGAACAAAAAGGCCUCGAUUGAAUGCUUUUCCAUCUUCACCUGAUUCAUCUGUUCUUACAAGAGAAGGUUCAUCCAAACUAUCUAUAGACCCCUCUCCUGCCAGUGGGUUUUCAAGGGUCUUGCAAGGUCAAGAAUUAUCGACCUUGAGAGGUGCCUUUGCAGAAAGUAAGGAGUCAGAAUCAUCUGAGAAGCCAACACCAUGUCCACCAUCUGUGAAUGAUGAGAAGCUUGAUGAUCUUUAUGCAUCACACCGCUGUAGUUCAAAUAAACGUUUGUCUUUAGGGAGGCCAGAGUCAUCAUUUACAGCUCUUCUAUCAUCAGGUUUUGGGAUGUACAUUAAUUCGUCCCAUGGCCUUUCUUUACAGUCAGGGGAUCAAAUGCCAGUUCCUGCUAGUUUGGUGAAGCAACAAACUAAAUAUCAGGAGGGGGAGUUUAACUUACUUGGAAAACCAUGGCCUGCUGUACCCUCUGCCUCUGGUCUAUCACUUAAUUUGAUGGAUUCAAGCAGAAAACCUCAUGGACAGGGUUCUGAUACACCUUAUCAGGCACCAGGAGACUCUAGGCGUGGUGGCUUAAGUGAGUAUUCAAUGCUACCUGGUCAUAGACUUGAAAGUCAGCAGGGGAACUGGUUUAUGCCUCCAACUUCUUAUCUGCAAAUACCUGCUCAUUCUAGAGAACUGAUGCCAAAACCAGUAUCAGUACAACAGCAUGAGGCAUUUGAACCAAAAAAGGGGAACUGCAAACUAUUUGGCAUACCUCUGAUUAGCAAUUCUUCUUCAAUGGGUCCUAUGUUAAGUGAAAAUCCAAUGACUGAGUCAAUAGUCCAUAGUGAUUUGGGUAUAUCCUCUCAUCAGUCACCUGCAACUGAAUCUGAACAAAGGUCUGAGCAAUCAAAGGACUCUAAAGUGAUAAAUAGAGUUACAGGCAAUGAGAAGGAAAAAGAACUUCAAACCUUUCAUGUUGAUGGUAGAGGAAGGGCGGGCAAGGUCUGCAGUGGUUCAACAAGGAGUUGCACCAAGGUUCAUAAACAGGGCACUGCCCUUGGUAGGUCCGUAUAUCUUGCCAAGUACAACAACUAUGAUGAAUUGAUUGCUGAACUGGACAAUCUGUUUGAUUUUAAUGGUGAACUUAAGGCACGGAACAGCAAUUGGAUGGUUGUGUAUACUGAUGGUGAGGGUGACAUGAUGCUUGUGGGAGAUGAUCCGUGGCAAGAAUUUUGUGCUAUGGUUCAUAAGAUUCAUCUCUACACAAAAGAGGAGGUGCAGCAUAUGAAGCCAGGAACUCUGAAUUCAAAGGAUGAGGAUACAUCAUUGAUUGCAGGAUUGGACACUAUGGAAGUGAAGGGUUUGCUGCCUCCUCCAGUGUCCAGUGCUGAGUAAUGUUGAUUUCUCCUCAGAUCUAGGUUGAUAAUGCUGCCAGGAGAAGAUUUCAGGUUGUUUGAUUUUUUGGGGAUGCUUGAAUGCUGUGAGAUGCAUGUAUCAUUGCAGCUUCUUAUAUUUUUGCAAUUUUGGACCCCUUGGAAGCCAACUUAUGGUUCCAUAUUCUAUACAUAGUAUGUAUGUAUAUUGCCAUUAAUGAGUUCCUUACAAGUCCCAUUUACAUUCACACUGUAUUGCUCCUUAACUGAUUGAACGGAUGCUGAUUCUUGUGGAAGAAUGUAUCAAAAUACAUUUUUUUAAAGGAUCAAAGUAACCAAAGAGUUGCCAAAAGACUUUGUGGUAUAGUGGUACUUGAUUGCACCUCCACAUGGAAAGGAGUGGGUUCGAGCCUAAUGGAGGCGAUAAAUAGAUAUUAAAUUGUAAUAGUGUUUUGUUCAAUUUAGUUUUUCUACCUUAACUUUGUUCAAUUUAGUCCUUUAUUUUAAAAAGUGAAACAAAAGGACAAUAGAUGAUGUGGUGUUGAAAUCAUUUUUGUGUGUGUUUUAUAUUUAAUGCAUGGACAAUGGUUUUUUGUUUA